UGGCUCAGUGGUAGAGUGCUUGCCUUGCAUGCAUGAGGCCUUGGGUUUGAUUCCUUA
rnacentral:tRNA from 1 species